rnacentral:misc_RNA from 1 species
GAUGAAGAACGUAGCGAAAUGCGAUAAGUAAAGUGAAUUGCAGAAUUCAGUGAAUCAUCGAAUCUUUGAACGCACCUUGCGCUCCUUGGUAUUCCGAGGAGCAUGCCUGUUUGAGUGUCAUGAAAUUCUCAACCUUUUCAGCUUUCUUUGUUGAUCAGGCUUGGAUGUGGGAGUAUGCGGGCUUCUCAGAAGUCGGCUCUCCUGAAAUGCAUUAGCGGGACCUUUGUUGCCUGGCUUUGGUGUGAUAAUUAUCUACGCCAUUGUAGUCAAGCAGCUUAAAAUGAGGUUUCAGCUUCUAACCGUCUCCCCUGAGACAACUUUUUGACAAUUUGACCUCAAAUCAGGUAGGACUACCCGCUGAACUUAAGCAUAUCAAUAAGCGGAGGA